rnacentral:misc_RNA from 1 species
UUUUUUUUUUCUGGAUUUUAAUACAAACCUUAUUGAUUGGAAAUUCUCUUUCCAAUUAUCCUCUCCCUCAGUUUUUCCUAAUUAAACAAGUUCCUGGUGUGGAGCUACAUGAGGCCCUGAUGCUAUUGUGAAAUGCAGACCCCUUCGAUGGCCUGAUUGGAGCACAAAAGCAACUUGUGUUGCUGCCAGUUCUGCAGCCUCCUGUCUUUGUCUCCGCUGCUGCAAGAUACUGAUGGCCCAUGCCAUGAUGUAACAGGGUAAAAGAAAACCAGCUGCUCGUAGCAAGAAAAGAGAGAAAAAGGUAGACACAUCAUCAUCAUCUCCAUCAGCAUCUGUAACAAUCAAUGCAUGCCGCACGAGUAGAAGGGCCAUUAA